rnacentral:lncRNA from 1 species
AGCGAAUCUGCAUGGGUCUGCAGCAACCUCAAGUCUCCUCAGAAGAAAGAAUUUGACCAAGGGGCAUAAGGCAGAAGGAGAGACCCGGGCAAGCUUCAGAGCAAGAGUGGAAGUUUAUUAAAAAGCUUCAGAGCAGGAAUGAAAGAAAAGUACACUUGGAAGAGAGCCAAACAGAAGGAGAGGACAGACUGCAAAAAUGGGACGAGCCUCGGGGCUGGACACAAGUGGCUGGGAAACGUCCGCAGCAGGUCUCAUUCCCCGGGAGGCGAGGAUGAAAAUUACAGGUGACACAUGGGUCAAUGGCCUGUCUCCUGACUCAAGACACACAAGGAAGAGACUCUUUGAAGCCUCAGGAGCAGACACUCAAUUGGAUAGCGCCUGGGAUUUGAAGGUCUGCCAUAGAGUCCGAAGAGAGGGGGAAAACACACGCAAACCACCCAAUCACAGGGACCCCUGUGGCUCCUCACCCACCCUCCACCCUCCACCUUCCACUUAUUCCACUCCUCUCGAUUGUCAAUUAAAAUAAACAGCCUUGUAUUC